AGUUUGGGACUAUCCAUCCCCUUCUACAGCCAUCCUGCUGCAUUGCGUCUUCUGUGUCAAACUGUGAAGAGAACACCAUGCAAGUUCCUUAUGACACACUGCCCUGACCUGAUCUGCACCGGUCUGUGUGGUACGCUGGUGCAGCUGAAAGGGAAGAGCUGGAGAUUUACAAUAAAGCUUUGAACAAAGUGCCCAUGGUGGCAGGCAUGGUGGUUAUGAGGGGUCAAAAACAUGGACUUCCUCUCUCCAAGAUGUUCAGCUCAUGUUAUCACUGAGUCUCAGAUCCGCUGAUGCCAGAGACCAGUACUGAUUCCCUGAACCAGAACCACAUGCAUAGGCGAUUCAUAGUAAGCCAAGUUCCACAGGGAUGGAAAGUGUCAGCUUCCCUCGGGACUCCCGUGGUGGCCCAGCGGUUAAGAAUCUGCCUGCCAAUGCAGGGGGACACAGGUUCGAGCCCUUGUCCGGGAAGAUCCCACAUGCUGCGGAGCAGCUA